rnacentral:tRNA from 1 species
GAGGUGUAGCGCAGUUUGGUAGCGCACAUGGUUUGGGACCAUGGGGCCGGGGGUUCGAGUCCCUNUCUGCCCCC